UGGAGUUACAGAUCGUUGUGAGCUGGCAU
rnacentral:piRNA from 1 species